CAGUAGCCACGGUAACACCAGCAGCCCAAGUGGUGGUCGCGAUUAUUGGGCCUAAAGCGCUCGUAGCCGGGCCGGUAAGUCCCUUGUGAAAUCGGACGGCCUAACCGUUCGGCGUGCAAGGGAUACUGUCGGUCUUGAGGCCGGGAGACGUCCGAGGUACUCCGGGGGUAGCGGUGAAAUGUUCUGAUCCUCGGGGGACCACCAGUGGCGAAGGCGGCUCACUGGACGACUGUUGACGCUGAGGUACGAAAGCGUGGGGAGCAAACAGGAUUAGAUACCCGUGUAGUCCCUGUCUCUUAUA
rnacentral:rRNA from 1 species